UACGUAGGGUGCGAGCGUUGUCCGGAAUUAUUGGGCGUAAAGAGCUUGUAGGUGGCUCGUUGCGUCGGGAGUGAAAACCUGCGGCUUAACCGCAGGCCUGCUUCCGAUACGGGCGAGCUAGAGUUCGGCAGGGGAGACUGGAAUUCCUGGUGUAGCGGUGGAAUGCGCAGAUAUCAGGAGGAACACCGGUGGCGAAGGCGGGUCUCUGGGCCGAGUACUGACACUGAGAAGCGAAAGCGUGGGGAGCGAACAGG
rnacentral:rRNA from 1 species